rnacentral:lncRNA from 1 species
CGCCCGCCUGGUGCAGAGCGCUGGGCGCUGCGAGCGGCGCUGCCAUUUAAAGGGGCCGCGACCCCUGUCCCGGCUGCUAGGGAGGGAGGUAGAGAAGGAGCGCGGGGCCGUCGCUGUCUGCAGUUCUAGGCUUGUAGCCUUUGCACUAACCCUGCCGCAGUACAUAUCCAGCCAUACUCAUGGACCCCAGUGAUUUCCCCAGUCCAUUUGACCCCUGUUACUACAACAAGGUUGACCGCACAGUCUACCAGUUCUGCAGCCCCAGCUGCUGGACCAAGUUCCAGCGCACAAGCCCUGAGGGGGGCAUUCACCUGAGCUGUCACUACUGUCACAGCCUCUUCAGUGGCAAGCCUGAGGUCUUGGACUGGCAGGACCAAGUGUUCCAGUUCUGCUGCCGUGAUUGCUGUGAGGACUUCAAGCGGCUUCGGGGUGUGGUGUCCCAGUGUGAGCACUGUCGGCAGGAGAAACUCUUGCAUGAGAAACUCCGAUUCAGCGGAGUGGAGAAAAGCUUCUGCAGCGAAGGCUGUGUGCUGCUGUACAAACAGGACUUCACUAAGAAGCUGGGCUUGUGCUGUAUCACUUGUACUUACUGCUCCCAGACCUGCCAGCGCGGAGUCACCGAGCAACUGGAUGGCAGCACCUGGGACUUCUGC